rnacentral:lncRNA from 1 species
ACCCUUGUGUUUUCUGCUUUUUCGAAACAUAAGAUUUAAUGCUGCAAAGGAUCUAUUAUCACUUUCUUAAGCUGAUCUGAAUAAAUAGCGUUGAAGUACCAUAAUUACCUUGUUCAAAGCAUCCUUAUAUCAUCCAAACUGUCGCCGUCGUUUCGUUGAAGCGUAACAUUUAAUGCUGCAAAGGAUCUAUUAUCAUUUUCCUAAAUCUGUCGUGAUCUUGAAAUUUUUUGCUGCAGUAUCAUCAAAUUAGUAAGUGAAUUAGAUAAUCCACGUAUAAAAUGAUAAUCGUAUAACGUACCAUGAGUUAUACUAAUAAUAAAGUCCAUAUUCCGCUAUCCAUUUGUCCGCGCACCCAUAAAAGCAGUGUGAAGUCAAUGACUUGGUUGCUGCUGCUCCUCCCGGACCACGAAGCCAAAGUGGGUGGAAGAGCUGACAUCUCAUUAAAG